CUUAGUAACUGCGAGUGAAGAGGGAAAAGCUCAAAUUUAAAAUCUGGCAGUGUUUUGCUGUCCGAGUUGUAACCUAGAGAAGUGUAACCUGGGCUGGACCAUGUACAAGUCUCCUGGAAUGGAGCAUCGCAGAGGGUGAGAAUCCCGUCUUUGACAUGGACUACCAGUGCAUUGUGGUUGUGCUCUCAACGAGUCGAGUUGUUUGGGAAUGCAGCUCUAAAUGGGUGGUAAAUUCCAUCUAAAGCUAAAUAUUGGCGAGAGACCGAUAGCGAACAAGUACCGUGAGGGAAAGAUGAAAAGAACUUUGGAAAGAGAGUUAAACAGUAUGUGAAAUUGUUGAAAGGGAAACGUUUGAAGUCAGUCAUGUUGGCUGGGGAUCAGCCUGGCAGAUUGCCGGGUGUACUUCCUGGUUGACGGGCCAACAUCAGUUUUGACUGCCAGAAAAAGGCCAAGGGAAUGUGGCACCUUUGGGUGUGUUAUAGCUCUUGGUCGUAUGUGGUGGUUGGGACUGAGGAGAGCAGUGCGCCGAAAGGCAGGGUUUCGACCACAUUCGCACUGAGGAUGUUGGCAUAAUGGCUUUAAGCGACCCGUCUUGAAACACGGACCAAGGAGUCUAACAUGCAUGCGAGUGUUUGGGUGGAAAACUCUUACGCGCAAUGAAAGUGAAAGUUGAGAUCCCUGUCGUGGGGAGCAUCGACGCCCGGACCAGAACUUUUGGGACGGAUCUGCGGUAGAGCAUGUAUGUUGGGACCCGAAAGAUGGUGAACUAUGCCUGAAUAGGGUGAAGCCAGAGGAAACUCUGGUGGAGGCUCGUAGCGAUUCUGACGUGCAAAUCGAUCGUCAAAUUUGGGUAUAGGGGCGAAAGA
rnacentral:rRNA from 1 species